rnacentral:rRNA from 1 species
AGAAAAAAAUCGAUAGUCCACCCAUGUGAACGUUACCAACUGUUGCCUCGGCGGGAUCUCUGCCCCGGGUGCGUCGCAGCCCCGGACCAAGGCGCCCGCCGGAGGACCAACCAAAACUCUUUUUGUAUACCCCCUCGCGGGUUUUUUUUAUAAUCUGAGCCUUCUCGGCGCCUCUCGUAGGCGUUUCGAAAAUGAAUCAAAACUUUCAACAACGGAUCUCUUGGUUCUGGCAUCGAUGAAGAACGCAGCGAAAUGCGAUAAGUAAUGUGAAUUGCAGAAUUCAGUGAAUCAUCGAAUCUUUGAACGCACAUUGCGCCCGCCAGUAUUCUGGCGGGCAUGCCUGUCCGAGCGUCAUUUCAACCCUCGAACCCCUCCGGGGGGUCGGCGUUGGGGAUCGGCCCUGCCUUUUGGCGGUGGCCGUCUCCGAAAUACAGUGGCGGUCUCGCCGCAGCCUCUCCUGCGCAGUAGUUUGCACACUCGCAUCGGGAGCGCGGCGCGUCCACAG